rnacentral:rRNA from 1 species
CGAGUGGCGGACGGGUGAGGAAUACAUCGGAAUCUACUCUGUCGUGGGGGAUAACGUAGGGAAACUUACGCUAAUACCGCAUACGACCUACGGGUGAAAGCAGGGGAUCUUCGGACCUUGCGCGAUUGAAUGAGCCGAUGUCGGAUUAGCUAGUUGGCGGGGUAAAGGCCCACCAAGGCGACGAUCCGUAGAUGGUCUGAGAGGAUGAUCAGCCACACUGGAACUGAGACACGGUCCAGACUCCUACGGGAGGCAGCAGGG